rnacentral:rRNA from 1 species
GCGCGGGGGGCCUACGGGAGGCAGCAGUAAGGAAUAUUAGGACAAUGGGCGCAAGCCUGAUCCAGCCAUGCCGCGUGGAGGAAGAAGGUCCUCUGGAUUGUAAACUCCUUUUAUCCGGGGCUAAAAUGGGGCUAUACGUCCGUAUUGAAGGUACCGGAGGAAUAAGC